rnacentral:rRNA from 1 species
CUCAAAGAUUAAGCCAUGCAUGUUUAAGUCUAAGAUUUAUCGGAUCGAAACCGCAGAUGGCUCAUUAAAACAGUUAUGAUUUAUGAGACUAUUGAAAGUUUACAUGGAUAACUGGUGCAAAUCACGGGCUAAUACAUGCACACAGGCCGUACUCUAUUGGACAGGCCGUGCUUGAUGCUAUUUGAACCUUUGUGAGCUUGCUCAGUUUAAAUGAUUAACAACAACCGCACAAAUUGUAUAUUUUCAUACAAUGGUUCAUUCAAGUUUCUGACCUAUCAGUUGUAGGCAGUAAGGUAUUGGCUUACUGCGGCUAUUACGGGUGACGGGGAAUUACGGUUCGAUUCCGGAGAGGGAGCCUUAGACACAGCUACCACAUCCAAGGGAGGCAGCAGGCGCGCAAAUUACCCACUCUUUGCUAUGAGGAGGUAGUGACAAGAAAUAACAAUGCAGGGCAUGAAUGUCUUGCACUUGGAAUGAGUGUGUCCCAAACACGCUUGCAAGUAUCAAUUGGAGGGCAAGUCUGGUGCCAGCAGCCGCGGUAAUUCCAGCUCCAGCAGUGUAUAUUAAAGUUGUUGUGGUUAAAAAGCUCGUAGUUUCCUGUUCACCCAUGAUGUCUGUUCCGCCCAUGGGGUGUGCAUCUAGAUGUCUUGGGUUUUUUAAUGAACCACUUCGCAUUUAACUAUGUGGGAUGGAGAGUAAAACAUUUACUUUGAAGGAAUUAGAGUGAUUUAAGCAGGCGCGUGUUCGGAUACAUUAGCAUGGAAUAAUAAGUCAUGACUUUGACUGUAUUUAUGGUUCUUGCAGUCACCGUAAUUUUCAAUGGAGAUAAUUGGUGGCAUUUGUAUUCAACUGUCAGAGGUGAAAUUCUUGGAUUUGUUGAAGACAGACAAGUGCGAAAGCAUUUGCCAAGGUUGUUCUCAUUGAUCAAGAACAAAAGUUAGGGGAUUGAAGACGAUCAGAUACCGUCCUAGUCUUAACCAUAAACUAUGUCGACCAGCGAUUGGACGUUGUUACUGUAAAUGACUCCUUCAGCACCUUAUGGGAAACUAUAAGUUUUUGGGCUCCAGGGGUAGUAUGGUCGCAAGGCUGAAACUUAAAGGAAUUGACGGAAGGGCACCACCAGGAGUGGAGCUUGCGGCUUAAUUUGACUCAACACAGGGAAACUUACCAGUACCGGACAUUGUAAUGAUUGACAGAUUGAUAGCUCUUUCAUGAUUCUAUGGGUGGUGGUGCAUGGCCGUUCUUAGUUGGUGGAGUGAUUUGUCUGGUUAAUUCCGUUAACGAACGAGACCUCACCCUAUUCAAUAGCUACACGUAUCUCAUGAUAGGUGGGUGGCUUCUUAGAGGGACUUUUCCUGUCUAAGGAAAGGAAGUUUGGGGCAAUAACAGGUCUGUGAUGCCCUUAGAUGUACUGGGCUGCACGCGUGCGACAAUGAUACGUUCAACAAGUUUAUAACCUUGUCUGGAAAGACUGGGCAAUCUUAGAAAGUAUGCCGUUGCUGGAAUAGAUUUUUGAAAUUAUUAAUCUUGAACAAGGAAUUCCUAGUAAGCGUAAGUCAUCAGUUUGUGUUGAUUAUGUCCCUGCCCU